rfam:Oblitimonas alkaliphila strain E5571 chromosome.
GCAUCCCUAGAGUGUUGGCCAGCUUGCUACGCCCGGAGCCGAUUCUCAUAACCCGGAAGUUGUAACACGAUCGGUGAGCAGGUCCGCUAGACGGAAAGCCUAAAGAUCAAUCAUGACUUCCACCUUGAACUGUUCGGGUUCAAGGGUCAUGCAGGCAGCGGCACUUCCGGGGAACCU